rnacentral:misc_RNA from 1 species
AAGAGUUUAUUAACUCCCAAACCCAUGUGAACAUACCAUACGUUGCCUCGGCAGGCUACAUCUGCUCUAUUAGAGCGAUGUGUAACCGGCCUGCCGGCGGUCCAUUAACUCUGUUUAUUUUUGAAUUCUGAGGUUAUAUAAAAUAAGUUA